UCUGGCACCGCCUUUCACCGCCACACUUCCCUUUUUAAACCUUGUCUCAGUAGCCACCAAAACCCCUCACAUUCCCCUUUUUCCCUUCACGUAGCACACACACAAAACGGAGAGAGAGAGAAGCAGAGGGGAAGAUGAGCACGCCAGCAAAGGAAGGCACCGCCGCCGUUCCUGCGCCGUCACCGUCGUGUCGCGAGCAGAAAGAAAGAGAGAUCCGAUAGUAGAGGAAGAGAAGCCGCACCGCGUCAUCGUCGAAUAUUGAGGGACGGCGUUCGUGGAAGGAACCAGAGGAGGGAGACGAGCGCGAACCAAGAGCGGGAGGAAAAAGGCACCGCCGUGCCUCCCGUCGUCAUCGUCAUUCGUGCUCCGUCGCCACGCUCCACGCCACUGCAUGUCGUCGCCACCGCUGCUUCCAGCCGUUGCUGUUCAAGCCCAGUCGCCAUUACCUUGCUUCGUUGUCGCCAAAGGAGAGGGAGCCGCGAGGAGCGUUGCUGUCAUGGACGAGCAGAAUGCGAAUAAUGAGGAGGGAAACCUGCCGCUGCACCGCCACGCCUAGCUGCCGGAGAACGGCGCCGUGGUCACGGGGAAGCACGCUAGAGGUGUUGCUGUCCGUGUCCUUCCUUCCUUCCUAGUGGUCCAGGUUGAGUUACUGUUGUUAGCUGGUGCUCUUGUGGUUGUUAUCGCUGCAGAACAUAGUUGGAGUUGACGCCGUUGUUUAUCGGCCGAGGGUAAAAGGUUUUCUUUAAUACGUUGGUUCGACUUUUUGAGGUAGGGAAUAUUUUAUUAAAUUAAAUAUUUUAAAUUUGAAUGCCUAAGGAGUUGACUGGAUUAUUGCAAAUAUAGGAAUGCUUGAUAUGUGAUGGAUUUUGGAUGUGGAUUAAAUGUGACUGGUUGUAUCUCUUGUUGGAAUAUGUUUGAAUGAUAGCUUAAGGAUGCUUGGCAAUGCUGAUUUUGGUUUUUAAGAUUGAUUUUGAGUUAAGAUCAUGCUUGUGAUUGAAUUGUUUAUUUGACGAGGUUGUGAUUAUUGUUAAUGUUGAUUUAUGAUUAAUUAGAAUUGAUUUCGAGGAUUGUUAAAAGAUUGAAGUUUGGUUAUUGAAGGGUUUUCUUGAACUUUGAUUUUUAUUAAAAUAAGAUUGUAACUUUGCUAAUGAGCAAGUAACUCUAGAAUAGUUGAAAUUAUGUGAAGCUGAUUUUUGAAUAGUAGUUAUGAAAUUCUUGAAGUUGGAUGGAUUUACUUUUAAAAGAAUGAUAGUCGUUAAACUGGUUUAUGAUAAGUUAUUUAUUGAGAAUCUAUUGUUAUGAUAACUGAUGAAACGGGCUGGUGAUUUGUUGAGAAAGAGGGAACCCAUAAGGGUGGCUAAGCCCGAGUUUUAGGCAAAGUGCUGCGAAAAUUUUUAUAAAAUUUGGGACUUUAUUUGAAAUGAUAUUUAGAUUUGGUUUUGGAAAGUUAGAUUAUUUGAGACUUAUUUAGUUGGAAAAAGAUUUAUUCUAUUUUGAAUUCGAUUUAUUAAGAAAAGUAUAAUGUUUUAAACUCAAUCUUUUAAGAAGGGAUUUUGCUUUAAGUUAUGUUUUGAGUUUGGUUUAAUAAAAAAGAAAAAAAGAAGAAUGAAAAGUAAAGGAAGAGAGAUAAUUAAAAGAAUGUCUGCCACAGGAGAGCAGAGAACAAAGACUAAAGGAAUAUAUUAAUUAAAGGAAUGUCUGCCACUGGAGAGCAGAUGCGACUUUAUUUAGGCCUUAGUGCCAAAUGUAUAGUAAGUAUGCCCACACACUGAGAACUGUUUUCCAGAUGUAAGCUCAUUGAUUUGAAAGUCACUGUAUGCGGCCUAGCCGUAAGACUUAUAAGCACACUGUAUGCAUCUGGAACGCCAUAUCUGGCACUUGUGCUCGGGUAAUGUCGGGAGCGGGUAGACAACCGGCACAUGAGCUCAUGAUCUGCACUAGGACUAGGCAUGUAUCAUCCUUAUUUGUGCAUUUGUAUUUGAUUGUGUUUACUUAUCUUGUUUCUCUGUGACUGUGUUGUUUGUCUUAUUGCGAUUUGUUUGUGUGUUAAUCUGUCUCUUGUGCUAUUAGUUUGUGUAUUGAAAUGACUGAGAACUGAGGUUGUGAUUGAGAUUUGCUUUAAGUUCCGAAAUUUAAAGAAGGUAAUUAAUUAAUAAAGUAAAAAUUCAAAAGUAUUUUCAAAGGUUUAACAAAAUAGUUUUAUUGAGCAAGUUAACUAUUUGUUUUAUUUCCAUUACUUUUAUGGCAUUUUCAUUUUCUACUGAGAACGUGUGGUUUGUUUUCACCCCAAAAUCUUUAAAGUGACACAGGUUCAAAGACUCAUUAUGAAGCUGCAAACGAAUAGUUGGAAUUGUUUAUAAGUUAAGUUGUUUUCAUAGAGUUCCCUUGUCUUUAUCGAUUAGGAUUUUAUUUUAUCCAGUGGAAUAGGUAUUGUAUCUGAAUUUUAUUUGAAUUCUUUUGUAUAAUAUUUAUUAUUAUUAAUAAUUAUGUGAUUAAUUUUAUUUGGUGUUCUUUGAUGAAUGAUUUUGAUUAAUAAAAAAACAAAAUUUUUAGGCAUUUUCUUAAAAAUUGAAACACGACAUCGAACUAAAGGCUCAAUAUUAAAUUGUUAUUAAGGAAAACGAUUUAGUAACGCCUUACUUUUGGUACGAUCAUGACGUGCUAAAAGUUAGAGUGUUACAUUAUGGUAUUAGAGCAGUUCAUCCUGAGUAGAGCCUUGGGAAUAUACUGACCGUGCUUUAUUGCAUACUCUGAGUAUCUGUCAUGUUAUAAGUCUUGUCCGAAUGACGAGAAUUAGAGCUUUAUGUACAUGACUGUCUAUUGAUUAACGCUGUUAGCUUAUCGUUACAUAUCUGUUGAUAUUAAGUUUGGCCAACUUAAUGUUGAUGGUUUAUGUGUACAGGAAAGUAAAUAGGUUAUCAUAGACAAAUUGGAAUUGAUAGGUAUGGAUAAUGCGAGUCACGUGGUUCGGAGAUGCUAGUAUUUGCUUUUCGUGCUUGAUCUCGACUUAUGAUUUUCGUUUAUGUCGCUUAGUUUGCAGCUGGCUCAGAGGGGCUGAUGGGAGGUGAUGGUAGGUGAGACGGAGCCGGUUUGGUGGGGUGAAGUUGAACGGGGUUACAAAAGUUACGCCUUCCGUUGGCUUGGGGCUCUCAUGAUGGACCUUGUUUGGGCCAGGAAAAAAAAAGAUGGAACCUAUCACUUGGUUGUUCACUUCGAACCAAAUGUGCUAAACAGGGAAGGAAAUCCUUAAGUUCAGUGCGGAGGACCCCCAUCGCCGGUGUUAUUCCUGCCGGUCGUGUUGGUGGUGCGCAGGAGAAGCCUGUGAUCGAAGUCGUAGGAGGCGGUGAAGGUGCUGGGCCACUGCGCGGAGCCCCAAUUUCGCCGUCGAGUUGUGGAGUGGGGGACCACUGAUUCGUCAUCUGGUAAGUAAGGAGUUGCCUGGCCCUUUCCUCAUUCAUCCUCCAUUGUUUUAAUUAAAUAAUGGGCUCAUGUUUAAGAUUAUCUGGAACAUUAAUGUUGUCUUGUUCAUUGUUCUGUGGUUGUAUGUGUGUGAAGAUAUAGUGGACAAGAUAAGUAAUUUGUUGAUGUUGUGGUAAUUGAAUCUGCAAUCCAUUUGUAAAAUUAAAAAAAUAUAUGUUCGACGAGGCAAAGAAAAGAAGGAACAGGUACUGCAAUUAGGAGAUGUACAAGUAGAGAGUUAAGUCGCGUAUUAUGGAUAGUUAUUUAUAUUUUACAAAACUAAACAUGGAUAGUUAAUUGAUUAUUUUAAAAUUGUAAAACAAAGAAACAGUAACAUUAUGGGGAAAAAAACCAAAAAAAAUUAGUUAUAGCAGAUUACUUUUCAAAAUUAAAAAUAA